UUCUUGUGCAUAGAGUAUGGCAAAGGAACCAGCGAUUCCUAUGACAUGGCUUAUCCACGGAAUGACAGAGGCGUCUCAUGUGAGAGACGACAAUGCAACUAACAAGCCUGCAAAUUAAUCAAAUCGUUCAUUCGGAUAGCUGAGGAGUUCACCAGAUGCUGUCAAGUCAUCUCUCGGCACAGUGUUUGUUCAAUUAUUAUCUAGUCAUCUUUUUAUCAAGGGGGCAUGAAUGGUUUUACGGAUUCCCACAUUUUGCAAACAUAUCACUGAUAAUUAUAAAACCAUGUAUGUCAUUUUAGUAGUUCAUGGUUCAUAUCUUGAAUUAGAUAGCUUUAUAUGCUCUUUUAUACUUUUACAAAAAUGAAUGAUCUGAUAUUACCUCUUGUACUGGAUGGUACCCAUCCAAUCUUUCUUUUUUUUAAUGAAAGACAUUGAAUGGUAGGUGUUCUGCAAACACAAUGCUUUACUGUUUUCUCAACCUUUCAGCAAAGUUUUGUAAAGAUAUUAAGAUUCAUCUCUCUCAACAAUUUACAAUAGAACCGUAAAGCUGUUAAUGCAAACCUUAAAUUGAAAACUAUUAUAUGAAUAUAACCAUUUCAUAGAGAUUUUGUAACAAUAUCUGAUUCAGUCUGACUUUUCAUCGGUUUUGGACAGGGAAGAAAUUCUUUGAUUUUUCUUAUCCAUGUACAUCAAUACUGUGAUAAAACCUACAUCGCGAUUCCCAAGGAAAGUUUGUACCUAAUCAAAUGUGACUGUAAUCCACCCCCAAUAUGAAAUGUAAAUUUGUAUUAUUCUUGUAUAUAACAGUUAUCACACUUGGUGUUUAUAUAAAAUGCUGUGGAUUUUUUUUUCAAUACAGAAAACUUUCCCCCAUGAUGAAAACAUUUUAAACCGCAACUCAAAUGCUGACUAUCGAGUGUUUUUGUUGUUGUUUAUUGCAUAGAUCAUAAUUAAUUUCAUUAGUAUGUUGUAUUGAUGAAUAAACUACAAGAGGUGUAAAGGUAUUUUCAGCAAAUUUAUGGCUGAACACAGAAGGGAUGGGGGCAAGGAGGUGACCUAGGGAUAAUAAAAAGAUAUUUUUCUAUUGCUGUGUAUUGCGAUUGUACACUAAGCCCCCAAGUAAAGUGAGAACCUAUAAACACUUUGUAUUUUUACUUCCUCAAUUGUUCCCAACCACA